AUUGAACGCUGGCGGCAUGCCUUACACAUGCAAGUCGAACGGUAACGCGGGGCAACCUGGCGACGAGUGGCGAACGGGUGAGUAAUAUAUCGGAACGUGCCCAGUAGCGGGGGAUAGCCCGGCGAAAGCCGGAUUAAUACCGCAUGAGACCUGAGGGUGAAAGCGGGGGAUCGCAAGACCUCGCGCUAUUGGAGCGGCCGAUAUCAGAUUAGGUAGUUGGUGGGGUAAAGGCCUACCAAGCCGACGAUCUGUAGCUGGUCUGAGAGGACGACCAGCCACACUGGGACUGAGACACGGCCCAGACUCCUACGGGAGGCAGCAGUGGGGAAUUUUGGACAAUGGGCGCAAGCCUGAUCCAGCCAUGCCGCGUGCGGGAAGAAGGCCUCGGUUGUAA
rnacentral:rRNA from 1 species